GUAAUGAUAGUUUAAUGUUAUUGUCGAUCUAAUAAAUAUAUAUAUAUAUAUAUAUGAAACAUAUAAGCAUA
rnacentral:sRNA from 1 species